rnacentral:rRNA from 1 species
CACGGGGGGAGCAAGCGUUGUUCGGAAUCACUGGGCGUAAAGGGCGUGUAGGCGGUCAAGUAAGUGGAAUGUGAAAGCCCCCGGCUUACCCGGGGAUCUGCAUCCCAAACUGCUUGGCUUGAGUACGGGAGAGGAUAGGGGAAUUCCUGGUGUAGCGGUGAAAUGCGUAGAUAUCAGGAGGAACACCGAUUGCGAAGGCAGCUCGCUGGAACGUUACUGACGCUGAGACGCGAAAGCGUGGGGAGCAAACAGG